AUGAGUUAGAGGAAACCUCUUUUGCUGUAUAUGAAUGCAUGUGUGAAGGUGGAUGGCUCAGUGGUUAGAGCGUCGGGCUCACAAUCAUGAGGUAGUGUGUUCGAAUCCCGGACCAGUCUGCUUGUUGUGUUCUUGAGCAAGACACUUUAUUUCACGUUGCUCCAGUCACUCAGCUGUAGAAAUGAGUUGUAAUGUCUCUGGUGCCAAACUGUAUCGGCCCCUUUGCCUUUCACUUGGAUAACAUCGGUGGUGUUGGACAGAUGAGGCUGGUAUGCAUGGGCGAUUGCUAGUCCUCCACAAAACAACCUUAUACGUAUGUAUAUAUAUAAGGAGAACUUUCUAAGUGCAAUCCCAUGGUCAUUCAUAACCAAAAGGGGAGCUUUACUCUUUUUAUGCACUCUCUACCCAAAUUUUUUUUUUUGUCAUCCAGCAUCAUAUAUUUCUAAUAUGCAUAAAAAAAUCUAUCUUUAAAGACAGGAAAGAGACGGCUGUGAGUAUGAUGCACACCUGCAUAGUUGCACACCUGCAUAGCUGCACAUAUACUAUUCUGCAUUUAAUAUAGGGUUUGAUUUUUAAAUUUCGAAUGCUCUAGUUUAUGUGCAACAAUUUGUAACUGAUCUAUGAAGCAUAUACAUACAUAUUUUUUUAUAUAAAUACAUAUAAAUAUAAAGGCACACACACACACACACACACACACAUAUAUCUCCAUCUAUCAAUAUCUUUAUAUGUAUACUUACGUACACACACAUAUAUAUAUGCAUUUAUACAUAAAUAUAGUUUAUUUCUAGGCAUAUACAUACACACAUACACACAGAUAAAUGAAUAUGUAUUUAUUCACAAAACACACACACAUACAUACACACAUAUAUGUUUAUUUAUAAACAUAAAUACAUAUACACAAAGAUGUGCAUAUGUAUUUAUCCACAAAAUUGCAUGUAUAACAAAUGUUUAUGAAUACACACACACACACACACACACAAACUCUUAUACAUACAUAAACACAUAUACAUAUAUACAUGUAUAUACAUACAUAUAUUUAUGCAUACAUAUAUA
rnacentral:lncRNA from 1 species